AGCCAUCUGUCAAAAGUCUGGAGUAUAUGUGAAAUUGCUAGUCUACAGGAUUUGAGAAGGGAUAUGUUCUUUAAAAGGUGAAUCAUUAGGGUUCACCUGUUUCAAAAAUUAGGCUAAUACUUAAUGUAAAUUAUUUUGCACCUUUGCAAUGAGACAUGUUUGAAAUGCAAAGUAGUGCAAGAAAAUAUUGGGAUGUUUCAAAAUGCUUGAGGCUUGAACAAUGACUUCGGACCAGCCUUUGUGAGUAUGUCCAUUCUCCCUAGUAAUUCCCAAACCCACUGGUCAAAUCUGAAUUAAAGGGCUAGAUAUUUCCAGAAUUACAUGUUUUCAUAAGUGUCAUGAAACUAGGCCUAUGCAGCAAACAGUAGCCUUACCUGUAAUCCCUGUAUAGCAAAAGCUGCAGUGUGAGCUCACCCUUCAUUAGUCACAGGAGAAUCCGAAUGGAUGAGAGUGGCUUUUUCCCCUCAGGGUGGAAAAAGCUUCAGUCAAAAUUCACACUUCAUUAGAUACUGGAUAAUCGGAGCAUGAGGCUCCAAUCCAUAGGCCUCAUUAGUUCUCUUUCAUUAUUAAAUUAUUAACAGUUUCCCUGACAAAGCAGAACAAAGCAGCUGCCUUUGGACAGAUAUAGAAGAGUACAAUUUAUACUGCAGCUUAUGGAGGACAUUCAGAUCCGUACAUUUCCAUGAUCGGGGAGGUAACUCAGGUUUCUGGGCUGAUGCAGAAACUGCUGGAAAUAUCCAAAGAAAUCAAAUCUUUUCUGAGGUCAAAGCUGUAUUUAAGAUUUGCAAAUGAUCCCAAAGGCAACAAGAAGAGCUUCUGCCACAACUCCAAGAGUAAAAGACUGAAAACAGGAAACGUGGUUUUGUUCCUGAAUGGGGCAAAUGAUGUGGCAGUGGAAACAGAUGAGGUUGUAGCACUCAGAGCCCCUGUUGCCUCAUGCAUGUCGUCAAAGUCUCCAAGGUCUCUGUGCUUAGAAUUCAUGGAGAGCUGCCAGCAAUGGGUGAGGAUCAGUGCAGGGAUUGCAUGGGAGAAUUUGACCCAUAAACAUUCAUGGGAUCAACAGAGCUGUAUCCAAGCUGUUGAAGGAGCUGUCUGGUUUCACUGCAAGACUGCGCUCUUUUCUUUGAAAGAUAGUGGAGACUGUCACACAACACAACCAUUGGAGUGUUCUCCAAUGACUCUUGAAAAAAAGCCCAAAGGAAAACUGUUAGCUGAUCGGCCUCACUGCAGUCUAUGUGGAAAUCCACGUCCUCUUGGAACACUUUUCUGAACACAGGAAAGAGGAGGUGAUCGGGAACAGCCAGUGUGCCUCACCAGCCCGAUUGUCUUCUAUAGCAAAAUGACUGGAUUUGUAGAUGAGGAAGAGCAGAGGAUGUGAAAGUCUCUUCUUCCAAACAUUCUCCCUGAAGACAAACUUUGGAGGACUCGUUUUCCCAAGCCUCACUGUGGCCUCUAGCCUGAGGACUAGAUCAAAGGAAAAGAAAGCUACAGAUGGAUGAGUUGUCAUUUUACCUGACCUGGAAAUCUUAAAAUGUACCGUAAGUGCUGAAUUCAUGAGUGAAUAAAGAAGAGAAAAAUGGGA